rnacentral:piRNA from 1 species
AAUGAUUUCACUGCCUAAACUGU